rnacentral:rRNA from 1 species
CAGUAGCCGCGGUAAUACGUAGGGUGCAAGCGUUAAUCGGAAUUACUGGACGUAAAGCGUGCGCAGGCGGUUCGCUAAGACAGAUGUGAAAUCCCCGGGCUUAACCUGGGAACUGCAUUUGUGACUGGCGGGCUAGAGUAUGGCAGAGGGGGGUAGAAUUCCACGUGUAGCAGUGAAAUGCGUAGAGAUGUGGAGGAAUACCGAUGGCGAAGGCAGCCCCCUGGGCCAAUACUGACGCUCAUGCACGAAAGCGUGGGGAGCAAACAGGAUUAGAUACCCGAGUAGUCCCUGUCUCUUAUAC